GGCGUUAAGUUGCAGGGUAUAGACCCGAAACCCGGUGAUCUAGCCAUGGGCAGGUUGAAGGUUGGGUAACACUAACUGGAGGACCGAACCGACUAAUGUUGAAAAAUUAGCGGAUGACUUGUGGCUGGGGGUGAAAGGCCAAUCAAACCGGGAGAUAGCUGGUUCUCCCCGAAAGCUAUUUAGGUAGCGCCUCGUGAAUUCAUCUCCGGGGGUAGAGCACUGUUUCGGCAAGGGGGUCAUCCCGACUUACCAACCCGAUGCAAACUGCGAAUACCGGAGAAUGUUAUCACGGGAGACACACGGCGGGUGCUAACGUCCGUCGUGAAGAGGGAAACAACCCAGACCGCCAGCUAAGGUCCCAAAGUCAUGGUUAAGUGGGAAACGAUGUGGGAAGGCCCAGACAGCCAGGAUGUUGGCUUAGAAGCAGCCAUCAUUUAAAGAAAGCGUAAUAGCUCACUGGUCGAGUCGGCCUGCGCGGAAGAUGUAACGGGGCUAAACCAUGCACCGAAGCUGCGGCAGCGACACUGUGUGUUGUUGGGUAGGGGAGCGU
rnacentral:rRNA from 1 species